rnacentral:misc_RNA from 1 species
AAGACUAUAGACCUGCGGAGUACCUGCGGAAGGAUCAUUACCACGCGAUCCAAAUCCAACAUCCCCCCGUUUGGCGUCGGCCGCUCCCGCGGACGGCGCCACACAACACACAACACACGUCAACAAAACCAAGACCACCCCAAUGUAAAAAGCGCUGUGUACUCAGCGCGUCUCCGGAAGCGAGCGGCUGCGACUGUGACCUCGUGUCACGCGCCCGCGCACUUUACGAACGCGACACAA